GCUGUGAUGGCCGAGAGGUUAAGGCGUUGGACUUGAAAUCCAAUGGGGUCUCCCCGUGCAGGUUCGAACCCUGCUCGCAGCG
rnacentral:tRNA from 1 species